CUCUUGUACACAGAGCUCUGGAGGCCAUGGGGGUCGCCGUCCGGCUCCCUUUCCAACCUGCCCGCGGCCUCAGAGCUGGGCUGGUUCCCGAGUGACCUUCGCCUGCUGUCCCCCAUGCACCGGUCCCUUCCCAGCCCCCGCGGCCUCACUCCCUCAGCACCCAAAUGUGUCUGUGGUGGCCGCGGCAACAGCAGAGUGUCCGCCACAGUCCACAUUCUAACCCGUGCGCUGUCUCCAAUGCUGGUCACCUGGGCCUGCACCGGGAUCAGGACUCAGUCCUGGUGGUCACGGCUCACUCAGGACCUCCCAGGAUUGGUUUAGGAAGGAGACCUGAGGGGAACCUGCAGGGACAUCUAGCUAUGGCUUCCCUCUCUUAAAAGGAGACACAAGGAAGAGACCUCGUCUCCUGUUCCUGUCCCUGUUGGGCCCGUCUGUAAUGUCCAGAGCCCAAGCAGCCUUCUUGUGACCGUGAGGCCUGCCAUCUGAGGGCAGAUGAACUGAAAGGUGGGCCUUUGAUGCGGUUGUCCAGCCUCUGAACUUAGUAGCCUUGGAAUCCACCCUGUGCCCAGGCUUCUUGUUACUUGGAACAGUUCUAGGGACGAGGAUGUGGACACCGUUGGGGAUCACUGUUCCUUCUAUCACACCUACCUCAUACCACACACAACAUCAGCCCUCAGUGGAUAUGGAUGUGAAAGCUGAAACACAACUUUAAAACUUACAGAAAAAAAUGAAUGUGACCAUGCUUUUGCCCUCCAGGUCCUUGCAAAAGAAAACGGACGGAGGAGAGAGAGGAGAAAGGGGAAGAAGUCACAGUCAAAUUCACUCUUGCCAGUCUCUAAAAUGGCAGAUUCAUUUUGAAACAACUCCAAAUUAAGCCUACAGAGGGAAGGCCUGGCUGAGUCUGCUGAGCACCUAUUACAGCUUCGGCAGCAUAGCACAUUUCGGUCCACAACAGUUGUGUAAGAUUGUGAUGGAGCUGGAAAUUUCCUAUUGCCUAGUGAGAUCAUGUCCUAAUGCAGAACGCAGAAUCACGAAGAGUGACAAAUGCCUGCCGUCAGCUGCUGGCCGGGCUGCCUGUCAUGCAGCAGCGCACAACAGAAGCACACCUUUCUCCUGUUCCCAGUGGUCAGAGCCACCCAAGUGGGGCUGUGGGCCCCCAGCACUUCUACUUCAGCAUGGAGACCCCCUGCUGCCUGGCUCCCUCCCCAGGCCCACCAGGCUAGUCCCCUCCCCUGUCCCUCUCUCACACCUGCUCUCAUAGCCACGCGGGCCUUUCUGGUGCACACAGCAACUCAGUUCAGGGCUCAGUAACCCCCUCCCAAUUCAGGGGCAUGACUCCUUCCAGAUUCUCCUUAAAUGUCACCUCCUCCAAAAAGCCUUCUUCAAUCACCUCUUCUAAAG